UAUACAGUGCCCAGUGAAGCACUCAUUGAAAGGCUAUUUGAUGUACUGAAGGAGAGAUGAAGGUCUAGUGAGAUAUAAGUAUAUAACGGUGCGACAGUGUUGCAGUUCAGAUGAACAUAAUGGGUGAUUUAACUUAUACGAGAGAUCUGCUCUUCAGUAAGAUGAUUUUAAACUGGCCCAUCUACAUUUCUUUUACCAUGGACUUCAGCUGAUCCAGUCAAAAAGAAAAAUAUGCUAUCAUAGCAGAAAGAUGGCCUAAGAAACUGUGGAAAGAGCAACUUCUGGAGCAUGUAAAGUCUAUCAGUCUUACUUCAGGUGGCUUCUUCAUGUCUCAGAGCACCUCAAACCUCAGUACACCUUAAGGCACCCUUAGAGCAUGGUGACACACAGCAUCCUGGGCCACCUGGAAACAGAAACAUUGCAAAGCAGCAGCAAGCAUCUGUUGUUUCUGAUAUCAGUGAACUGCAACACAGAAAGGUAAGAGGAAACAAAACUGUGGGGCGCAGAAAGCUUGAGAAGCAAGUUCCUGGGCUUGUUUCUGUGCUAUGUAAACAGAGAUAAAGUGCAGCAGAUGCACUUAGUAUCUGCUAUGUUAUGUUAACAUGAAUAUAAAGGGACAUUAAUGUUAUGAAGUAAUGUUGGUAAGUUAACUCUUAAUGUGUCACAUCACUCAAAAUAUUACAUUAACUUCAGUGGAGGU